AAAGAAAAUGUCACUGUUUAAUUAUCUUUAAACAUGAACCUGAAACAAAUCUAAAAUAUAUUUUGUACUGAUGCACUGACAAGAUGAAAGAGAAAGUUAAGACUGCAGUAACAUUAAAUAUUUCCUUUGGAUUUUAUAAAGUUAGAUACUUUUCACACCAAUUUUCUACCUUUCAUUAUAACUUAGGAAAUUCUUCCAAUGUGACUACUUAUUACAAUUGGAGCACAACUUCACUAACAACAACAGAUACAGAGAAAGACUGAUGCAUAUCUAGUUCCAAAUGUGUCCUCCAUGUUUGCAUGGAUCUAAUUUACAUAAUUAAAAUGGGAAUUAAGCCAUUUUCUUUUAUCAAGUUCUUUCCUUUGAUUUUUUAAUAGUUUUUGAUAAUUACUUUUAUCUAGCACCAUCUGUGCUAGAUAAAAGGCAAGUAGGAAACGGGAGCUGCCUAGUUACACUUCACUCAUCAUUCAUGACUACUACACAACUCUAAAUUGAUGGAGGCAUCGCACCUCUACCUCAUGCAAAACAGCUAGAGAUUUGAAAACUUUUCUAUUUCCAAAGACAAAAAUAUCAGUAACACCUUUUUGCUAUGCCUUUUGCCAAUU
rnacentral:lncRNA from 1 species